rnacentral:rRNA from 1 species
GUCCACGCCGUAAACGUUGGGCGCUAGGUGUGGGGCUCUUUCCACGAGUUCCGUGCCGCAGCAAACGCAUUAAGCGCCCCGCCUGGGGAGUACGGCCGCAAGGCUAAAACUCAAAAGGAAUUGGACGGGGGCCCGCACAAGCGGCGGAGCAUGCGGAUUAAUUCGAUGCAACGCGAAGAACCUUACCAAGGCUUGACAUGGGCAGUAAUCCGGCAGAGAUGUCGGGUCCUAAAGGGCUGUUCACAGGUGGUGCAUGGUUGUCGU